AGAGGAGAUACAUGCAAAUCCAUGUUAUUUCUAAGGUGAUUGUUAGUUUAAAGUAUAUGCAGUGAUUCUUGAAUAUAACUAUAGCCUAACAGAUACCGCAAUUGUUUUCUACCAACAGGAAAGAACCGUUAGUACAGCAUGCCAAACUGACCCCCUGGGUGCCAGAGUGUUCCUGUGCUGCGUGGAGAAGAGGUCCACUGGAACCCUCAAUAAAGAGGUCCACCAGGACCCUCACUAAAGAGGUUUACCGGGACCCUCACUAAAGAGGUCCACCGGGACCCUCAUUAAAGAGGUUCACCGGGACCCUCAAUAAAGAAGAUUACCGGGACCAUCACUAAAGAGGUCCACCGGGACCAUCACUAAAGAGUUCCACCGGAACCCUCACUAAAGAAGAUUACCGGGACCAUCACUAAAGAGGUCAACUGGUCCCAUCACUAAAGAGGUCCACUGGGACCAUCACUAAAGAGGUCAACUGGUCCCAUCACUAAAGAGGUCCACUGGGACCCUCAUUAAAGAGGUUCAC
ensembl:lncRNA